rnacentral:rRNA from 1 species
CAACUCCAAAUAGAUGAGAACUCCGGCUUUCUUGAACUUUGUUUUUGAAGCCGGGGGCUCGGAUCAGAGUGCCAAGUGGGCCAAUUUUGGUAAGCAGAACUGGCGCUGUGGGAUGAACCAAACGUCGAGUUAAGGCGCCCAAAUCGACGCUCAUGUGAAACCAUGAAAGGCGUUGGUUGCUUAAGACAGCAGGACGGUGGCCAUGGAAGUCGGAAUCCGCUAAGGAGUGUGUAACAACUCACCUGCCGAAGCAACUAGCCCUGAAAAUGGAUGGCGCUGUAGCGUCGUGCCUAUACUCGACCGUCAACGGCAAAGAUGGCUGGCGGGCAACCGUCGGCCGUUACGCCUUGACGAGUAGGAGGGCCGCGGCGGCGUGCGUAGAAGGGUCUGGGCGCGAGCCUGCCUGGAGCCGCCGUCGGUGCAGAUCUUGGUGGUAGUAGCAAAUACUCCAGCGAGGCCCUGGAGGACUGAUGUGGAGAAGGGUUUCUUGUGAACAGCUGUUGCACAAGAGUCAGUCGGUCCUAAGCCCUAGGAGAAAUCCGAAGCGAUGGGUUGCCGUUAAUGUCAUCAAACAACAUGAAGGCACCCGUUUGGGCGAAAGGGAAUCCGGUUCCUAUUCCGGAACCUGGCAGUGGAACCGUUCCAAUUCGGGCCCUCUGAGGACUCGUCAGGGCAACCUGAAUAGACCCGGAGACGCCGACAGGAGGUUGGGGGAGAGUUGUCUCUUCUCUAUAAGCGAUCGAGUUCCCUGGAAACUUCUAGCAAGGAGAUAGGGUUUGGAUCGCGAAGAGCACUGCAGUUACGGCAGUGUCCCAAUCUUCCUCUCGGACCUUGAAAAUCCGGGUGAGGGCCACGAGGAACCCCACGCCAGACCGUACCCAUAUCCGCAGCAGGUCUCCAAGGUGCAA